rnacentral:rRNA from 1 species
GUAAUGUAUCGGAACGUGCCUAGUAGCGGGGGAUAACUGCUCGAAAGAGUAGCUAAUACCGCAUACGCCCUACGGGGGAAAGGGGGGGAUCGCAAGACCUCUCACUAUUAGAGCGGCCGAUAUCGGAUUAGCUAGUUGGUGAGGUAAAGGCUCACCAAGGCGACGAUCCGUAGCUGGUUUGAGAGGACGACCAGCCACACUGGGACUGAGACACGGCCCAGGCUCCUACGGGAGGCAGCAGAGGGGAAUUUUGGACAAUGGGGGAAACCCUGAUCCAGCCAUUCCGCGUGUGCGAUGAAGGCCUUCGGGUUGUAAAGCACUUUUGGCAGGAAAGAAAUCGCAUCAAUUAAUACUUGGUGUGGAUGACGGUACCUGCAGAAUAAGCACCGGCUAACUACGUGCCAGCAGCCGCGGUAAUACGUAGGGUGCAAGCGUUAAUCGGAAUUACUGGGCGUAAAGCGUGCGCAGGCGGUUCGGAAAGAGAGGUGUGAAAUCCCAGGGCUCAACCUUGGAACUGCACUUUUAACUACCGAGCUAGAGUAUGUCAGAGGGGGGUGGAAUUCCGCGUGUAGCAGUGAAAUGCGUAGAUAUGCGGAGGAACACCGAUGGCGAAGGCAGCCCCCUGGGAUAAUACUGACGCUCAUGCA